AUGUUUGGCAGAACCUGUUCAGGUCCUGACACCAGGAGAAUAAUAGAAGUUCGCUCAAAUGUGGAGCUGCCGCGGAGGAGCAAGGAGAUGGAGAGAAGUGUACCGACAGGAGGCACAAAUGUUCUGAGGGAGAGGACGUAUUUCCAGCUGGAGGAAUCAGGGACUACUUCACGGAGAAGGUGGCCACUAGUUGAAAAGUCUCAUAUCACCAUCCUUGUUAGAACCCGUGUCAUCAUUUCUUUCGGCCCCAGAGAUGACAUGACUUUCCAAGGAGUACACAAUGAAGAUCCAGUGCUGGUCUAGGUACUCUUAUUUCAUGUGCUUUUCCCUCCACCUGGGGUACUAAGGCAGACUAGCUAAGAGCCAGGAUGCCUGGGUUCAGUCGUGGCUCCCAUACGUACUAACUCUACCUGGGCAAGUUACUCACCCUCUUUUACCCACCAACAAAGUGGGCAGUAAUAGUAAUACCUACCACAUGGCUUAUUAUGAGGAUUAAAUAUGGUAAUGGGUUUAAAGUAAAUAUUAGUUUCCUAGGGCUACUGUAACAAAGUGCUGCAAACUAGGUGUCUUAAAACAACAGAAAUUUAUUGUCUCACGUUUCUGGAGGCUGGAAGUCCAAAAUCAGGGUGUUGGCAGGGCCAUGCUUCUUCUGACGACUGUAGGGGAGAAUGUUUUCUUGCCUCUUCCAGCUUCUGGUGUUGCCAGCAGUCCUUGGUGUUCCUUGGCUUGUAGAUGCAUCGCU
rnacentral:lncRNA from 1 species